rnacentral:rRNA from 1 species
UACGUAGGGUGCAAGCGUUAAUCGGAAUUACUGGGCGUAAAGCGUGCGCAGGCGGUUCGGCAAGACAGAUGUGAAAUCCCAGAGCUUAACUUUGGAACUGCAUUUUUAACUCCCGAGCUAGAGUAUGUCAGAGGGGGGUAGAAUUCCACGUGUAGCAGUGAAAUGCGUAGAGAUGUGGAGGAAUACCGAUGGCGAAGGCAGCCCCCUGGGAUAAUACUGACGCUCAGGCACGAAAGCGUGGGGAGCAAACAGG